CUGUGUUUUUACCCUGAUCUCACUGGGCUCUACUGCGCUGUCCUGUGUUUUUACCCUGAUCUCACUGGGCUCUACUGCACUGUCCUGUGUUUUUACCCUGAUCUCACUGGGCUGUACUGUGUUUUUACCCUGAUCUCACUGGGCUGUCCUGUGUUUUUACCCCGAUCUCACUGGGCUGUACUGCGCUGUCCUGUGUUUUUACCCCGAUCUCACUGGGCUCUACUGCACUGUCCUAUGUUUUUACCCUGAUCUCACUGGGCUCUACUGCACUGUCCUGUGUUUUUACCCUGAGAUAUCACUGGGCUGUACUUUUCCACAAAUAAACAUGAGAUCCAAGAUGGACAACAUUCUCUCUACAAUGCGUGUUACUACAACACCUCAUUCCUAGUUGUCUAGCUCUGCGGGUUUCUCUCUGCUUGUCUCUGCAUGCCUCUGCAUCGCUAGCUGCUUUCUGUGGGUGGAACAGUAUUUGAGCUCCAGUCAGGAGCGAAGACCUGGGGGGUGAUCUUCGAUCCAGCCCCGACCUCCGACCCUCACGAGCAACACGCUGUCAGACCCUCGUUCUUCCAGCUCAGGAAUGUCGCCCGACCACAUCCUGUGGCUGAAAGGCUGGUCCACCCCCUGACACCCUCCUGGCUGGGGUUUCCAAACCCACCCUGAGCAAACUCCAGUCCGUCCAGAAUCCACACCAGCUCGAGUGCAGGAGACCACAUCACUCCUGUCCUGGAGUCCCUGCCCUGGCUGCCAGUCAGGUGUCAGAAUCCUCCUGCUCUGCGUGGCUCGGCCCCCUCCAGCCCCGUCUGAGUCACUGUUGCCCUGCUCCCCCCCUCCCAGCCUCCCUUCCUCUGACUCUGGGAUCCUGUCUGUCGACACUCUGGGGGUGACAGGGCCUUCUCCUCCUGCUGGAACUGUCGGAGAGAGUCUCCUGCCCAUCCCGACUCCAGCCCUUCCUCUGACUCUGGGCUCCUGUUUGUCGACACUCUGGGGGUGACAGGGCCUUCUCCUCCUGCUGGAACUGUCGGAGAGAGUCUCCUGCCCAUCCCGACUCUAGCCCUUCCUCUGCAGUGUUGAACUGGAUCUGCCUGUUGUUGUGAAGUCACUCUGGAAAGCGUUUUGAGAAGGCGCUCUGAAAGGCGCAAUAUGAAAUGAAGCUUCGUCCCUCAGGCUGUCAGGCUCUACCGGCACGCACCCCAGUUCCAGAAACGGGGUUUAAACCCCCCCAGUGUGUUGUGUAGCUUGUAUGUAUUUACCUUCUGAUUUGCACUGUGUGUAUCCUGUCAGCGACGUCGAUGUCCUGCCCGUAUUUGCACGGUGGACCAGGAGGAAGGAUGUGUCUUUCCACUGUGUGCCUGUACGUGGCUGGAGUGACACAUAAACGUCAACUUGACCUGAAGGGCCCAUUUCGAUCGUAG
rnacentral:lncRNA from 1 species